UACGGGGGGGGCAAGCGUUGUUCGGAAUUACUGGGCGUAAAGGGCUCGUAGGUUGCCAACUAAGUCAGACGUGAAAUCCCUCGGCUUAACCGGGGAACUGCGUCUGAUACUGGAUGGCUUGAGAUUGGGAGAGGGAUGCGGAAUUCCAGGUGUAGCGGUGAAAUGCGUAGAUAUCUGGAGGAACACCGGUGGCGAAGGCGACUACCUGGCCUGUUCUUGGCGCUGAGGCGCGAAAGCUAGGGGAGCAAACGGG
rnacentral:rRNA from 1 species